UGCGAGUGAAGCGGGAAAGCUCAAAUUUAAAUCUGGCGGUCUUUGGCCGUCCGAGUUGUAAUUUAGAGAAGCGUCUUCCGCGCCGGACCGUGCACAAGUCUCCUGGAAUGGAGCGUCAUAGAGGGUGAGAAUCCCGUCUUUGGCACGGACUCCCGGUGCUUCUGUGAUGCGCUCUCGAAGAGUCGAGUUGUUUGGGAAUGCAGCUCAAAAUGGGUGGUGAACUCCAUCUAAAGCUAAAUAUUGGCGAGAGACCGAUAGCGAACAAGUACCGUGAGGGAAAGAUGAAAAGCACUUUGGAAAGAGAGUGAAACAGUACGUGAAAUUGUUGAAAGGGAAACGCUUGAAGUCAGUCGCGUCGACCGAGACUCAGCCUUGCCUUGGCUUGGUGUACUUCUCGGCCCGACGGGUCAGCAUCAAUUUUGCUCCUCGGAUAAUGGCAAGGGAAAGGUGGCACCUUUACGGGUGUGUUAUAGUCUCCUGUCGCAUGCGAGGGGUGGGAUUGAGGAACUCAGCGCGCACCUUUGGUGUCGGGGCUUCGGCCCACGUCACGCGCUUAGGAUGCUGGCGUAAUGGCUUUAAUCGACC
rnacentral:rRNA from 1 species